AAAUUGAAGAGUUUGAUCAUGGCUCAGAUUGAACGCUGGCGGCAGGCCUAACACAUGCAAGUCGAACGGUAGCACAGAGAGCUUGCUCUCGGGUGACGAGUGGCGGACGGGUGAGUAAUGUCUGGGAAACUGCCCGAUGGAGGGGGAUAACUACUGGAAACGGUAGCUAAUACCGCAUAACGUCGCAAGACCAAAGUGGGGGACCUUCGGGCCUCACACCAUCGGAUGUGCCCAGAUGGGAUUAGCUAGUAGGUGGGGUAACGGCUCACCUAGGCGACGAUCCCUAGCUGGUCUGAGAGGAUGACCAGCCACACUGGAACUGAGACACGGUCCAGACUCCUACGGGAGGCAGCAGUGGGGAAUAUUGCACAAUGGGCGCAAGCCUGAUGCAGCCAUGCCGCGUGUAUGAAGAAGGCCUUCGGGUUGUAAAGUACUUUCAGCGGGGAGGAAGGCGUUGUGGUUAAUAACCACAGCGAUUGACGUUACUCGCAGAAGAAGCACCGGCUAACUCCGUGCCAGCAGCCGCGGUAAUACGGAGGGUGCAAGCGUUAAUCGGAAUUACUGGGCGUAAAGCGCACGCAGGCGGUUUGUUAAGUCAGAUGUGAAAUCCCCGGGCUCAACCUGGGAACUGCAUUUGAAACUGGCAAGCUUGAGUCUCGUAGAGGGGGGUAGAAUUCCAGGUGUAGCGGUGAAAUGCGUAGAGAUCUGGAGGAAUACCGGUGGCGAAGGCGGCCCCCUGGACAAAGACUGACGCUCAGGUGCGAAAGCGUGGGGAGCAAACAGGAUUAGAUACCCUGGUAGUCCACGCCGUAAACGAUGUCUACUUGGAGGUUGUGCCCUUGAGGCGUGGCUUCCGGAGCUAACGCGUUAAGUAGACCGCCUGGGGAGUACGGCCGCAAGGUUAAAACUCAAAUGAAUUGACGGGGGCCCGCACAAGCGGUGGAGCAUGUGGUUUAAUUCGAUGCAACGCGAAGAACCUUACCUGGUCUUGACAUCCACGGAAGUUUUCAGAGAUGAGAAUGUGCCUUCGGGAAC
rnacentral:rRNA from 1 species